rnacentral:rRNA from 1 species
AUACGGAGGGUGCGAGCGUUGUUCGGAAUUAUUGGGCGUAAAGAGCAUGUAGGCGGUCUGUUAAGUCUAGUGUGAAAGCCCGGGGCUCAACCCCGGAAGUGCAUUGGAUACUGGCAGACUUGAGUAUGGGAGAGGAAAGCGGAAUUCCGAGUGUAGGAGUGAAAUCCGUAGAUAUUCGGAGGAACACCAGUGGCGAAGGCGGCUUUCUGGACCAAUACUGACGCUGAGAUGCGAAAGCGUGGGGAGCAAACAGGAUUAGAAACCCCGGUAGUCC